rnacentral:rRNA from 1 species
GAUGAACGCUGGCGGCGUGCCUAACACAUGCAAGUCGAGCGGCAGCGAGGGGUGCUUGCACCCUGUCGGCGAGAGGCGGACGGCUGAGUAACGCGUGGGAACGUGCCCCAAAGUGAGGAAUAACUGCUCGAAAGGGUAGCUAAUACCGCAUAUUAUCUUCGGAUCAAAGGAUUUAUCCGCUUUGGGAGCGGCUCGCGGCGGAUUAGGUUGGUGGUGAGGUCAUGGCUCACCAAGCCGACGAGGCGUAGCUGGCAUGAGAGGAUGGCUCGGCAGCCUUGAACUGAGGCACCGGCCAGGCUCCUACGGGGAGCAGCAGUUGGGAAUCUUCCACCAUUGGCGAAAGCCUGAUGGUGCAACGCCGCGGGCAGGACGAAGGCCUUCGGGUUGGAAACUGCUUUUAUAAGUGAGGAAUAUGACGGUAACUUAUGAAUGAGGAUCGGCUUACUACGUU